AACAAACACACGGGAGUGCACAGCGAGUGCGCUGAGAGGACGGCUAACGGCCGUCGACCGUACGAACCUGUCCGGGUAAUGCCGGCGUAGGGAGAUGAUCAUGAUGCGUU
rnacentral:ncRNA from 2 species